rnacentral:rRNA from 1 species
AGGGAUCAUUACAGAGUUCAUGCCCUCCGGGUAGAUCUCCCACCCACUGUUAUCAUUACUCUCGUUGCUUUGGUGGGCCGCUGGGCCCUGCCUGGCCGCCGGCUCCGGCUGGCGCGUGCCCGCCAGAGGCUCCACAGACUCUGAAUGUUAGUGUCGUCCGAGUAACUAUAUAAUCGUUAAAACUUUCAACAACGGAUCUCUUGGUUCCGGCAUCGAUGAAGAACGCAGCGAAAUGCGAUAAGUAAUGCGAAUUGCAGAAUUCAGUGAGUCAUCGAAUCUUUGAACGCACAUUGCGCCCUGUGGUAUUCCGCAGGGCAUGCCUGUUCGAGCGUCAUUUCAACCCUCAAGCCCAGCUUGGUGUUGGGCCCUGCCCGUCGUGGCUGGCCCUAAAGGCAGUGGCGGCGCCGCCUGGCCCUCAGCGUAGUACAACUCUCGCUCCAGGGCCCAGUGGUGGCUUGCCAGAACCCCCAACUUUGUGGUUGACCUCGGAUCAGGUAGGGAUACCCGCUGAACUUAA